GUGCCAGCAGCCGCGGUAAUACAGAGGUCCCAAGCGUUGUUCGGAUUUACUGGGCGUAAAGGGUGCGUAGGUGGUGAGGUAAGUCUGAUGUGAAAUCUCCGAGCUUAACUCGGAAAUGGCAUUGGAAACUACCUGACUUGAGGGUUUGAGGGGGGACUGGAAUACUUGGUGUAGCAGUGAAAUGCGUAGAUAUCAAGUGGAACACCAGUGGCGAAGGCGAGUCCCUGGAAAAUACCUGACACUGAGGCACGAAAGCUAGGGGAGCAAACAGGAUUAGAAACCCUAGUAGUCC
rnacentral:rRNA from 1 species